rnacentral:rRNA from 1 species
AUGUACCGGACUUGUUGUGCAAUUCCAGUGGGAGGUGGUUCAGCUAAUCUUGAUUCCAAUGAGCAGAAUUAUAUUACUGCAUCACAAUCUUGUCGGAGUCCAGCCUGCCUCGAAAUGACACGGAAGGUCUGCCUUUCGAGAAGCUUGCAAGCAACGAAUAUUUUUAAUUUUCCUACUAGCACCACCAUGUCCAUGGUUGACGAGCACGCAGGCAGCUCGAGAUUUGGACGACCUGCCGUAGAUUACUCCAACAAACGAGCGCUGCCUCGCAUCUGGAGCCUGAAUCUUCUCUUUUUCUCUCUUGAUUGCGUCGCCGGUCAGCCGCGCCGGCACAUGGACUCCGACCAAGUCAAAGUUGGCUCACCUGUCACACAAGCUUGGCUCCACACUCCAACCCAAACUUAA